rnacentral:rRNA from 1 species
AUUGAACGCUGGCGGCAGGCCUAACACAUGCAAGUCGAACGGUAACAGGAAGCAGCUUGCUGCUUCGCUGACGAGUGGCGGACGGGUGAGUAAUGUCUGGGAAACUGCCUGAUGGAGGGGGAUAACUACUGGAAACGGUAGCUAAUACCGCAUAACGUCGCAAGACCAAAGAGGGGGACCUUCGGGCCUCUUGCCAUCGGAUGUGCCCAGAUGGGAUUAGCUAGUAGGUGGGGUAACGGCUCACCUAGGCGACGAUCCCUAGCUGGUCUGAGAGGAUGAC